UGAGCAAUCUGCCCUUCUCAUCGGAAUAAGCGUUGGAAACGACGUCUAAUGCCGAAUACGACCUCCUUUCGCAUGAUCGGAGGUGGAAAGCUCCGGCGGAGAAGGAUGAGCUCGCGGCCUAUCAGCUAGUUGGUGGGUAAUGGCUCACCAAGGCGACGACGGAUAACCGGCCUGAGAGGGCGACCGGUCACACUGGGACUGAGACACGGCCCAGACCUCCGUACGGGAGCAG
rnacentral:rRNA from 1 species